CACGUGCUCGGCUUCUUCACACAAAAUUAAUGUACGAAACUCAGAGUAUGAUAAAGCUGUAGGCACCGGUGAAAGCGUGAACUGUGUAGGGGAGGUGGAUAACUUCCCCCAGUUAAAAUCAGUAUCUUCAGCAGCAGCCCCUCCACCCUAUUUGGUAGGGGAUGCAGACUCUCCUGUCGGGAAACGGUGAUCAGCUAAAAGUCCCUUUCCCCUGGGGAUUUCUCUGUUGCGUCCCACAGACUUUUUGGCCGAGUGUCAGUUUUCAGCCCCUCCACCCUCCUCCUCCAGAACCACAGGUGGUGGCCACGGAAGAGGAAUUUGGAGCCAGAAGCUGGUUUUCCACUGAGACGCUAUCAGCUCUCGCACGCACGUUUCCAAAGCAGGACCUCCGCGCUAUCUGCCCUCCCACCUGUCCCGUCCUCCUCCUCUGAGCCUGAUCUCGUGCCACACUUGUCCCCCUGGUCUCCGUGCCGCCUGCCGCACCCAGCCUUGGCUGGAUGCCCAUGGCCGUGGGGGCCUGGAAACCCCAAAUUUGGCAGCAGCCUCUGACUGCUGGUGCGUCAGCCAGCCCAGCAGCUGGAGGACACCUGCCCCACACCCUGGGGAAGGUCCUCGUGCAGAACGAGGAGUGCCACCACGUGUCACCACGAGGAACCGGGAGGGAAAAGCAGCCAGAUGAAAUUCAGUAGGCAAAGGUGCACGGCACCGUGCUGAGGAAGCAGACAGCAGCUAUGCGUACGCCAAGUGGGGCACAAGCAGCAGCGCUGGAAAAAAGCGUCUUGCUUUGCCCCAGAGAAGCUGCAUGUUGUCCUAAUUCGCUCUCCAGGCACGUCUCACUACAAACAGAAGUUGCUCUCUCCUGUUCCUGGUGAGACUCAAAGCUCUGAGAAGAUGUCCUGCCCCGUAGGUUUCCUUUUCCUGAUGAAAGCCAGUGCAGAAAGUGCUCCUCUUGGGACACCACAUGCUCCAGCAUCUGUCGACCCCUCUCGUGGCUGGGUGCCUGCAAAUCUGAAGGACCAGAAGUAUAAAUGCAGGUGAAAAGGCAGAUAUUCCUGGAGCGGGUCAGGUUUGUUUCAGAGGUGGCCAGCUUCCCCCGCCGAGGGCACGUGUUGGCCAUUCCAGCAGGGAGGACGGGCUGGACCAGGAGAAGAUGCAGGCAGCAAAGCCCCACUGACCGUGAGCAGCAGGGCUGGCCUGGGCAGAGACACAGGAGGCAUGGCAGGGAGACGCAGCUUUGGGUGAGAACUUGCUUAUCACAAAACCCAGGCCCUGGAGAAAGACACAGCCUGAAGCCGUUUGGGGUGUCCCCAUCACUGCUGCCAGGCCACCAAGACUGGUGGCUGGCAGGGCGUCCCACUGGGUGGGGAGGAGCCGGCAACUGUGGGCAAAGCUGAGGCACUCGAGCCAGCGUGUGAUGGGCUGUGCAGUAGGACAGCAGGGAUGCUCGUGGCAGGAUCAGCCUCCUCUCCUGCCGGCGAAGAAGAGCGGCCGCUGCCUCGCUGCUUUGCCGUGGGGCCAGCAGUAACCCCCCCAACAGGGUCCCGGCAUAGUCAGCCAGGAACUUGUACCGGGCUCGGGCUCCCAGACAGAAAAAACAAACCACUGCGUGUUCAAUGUUUACAUUAGAUGUUUAUUUUACAGUUCAUUUCACAAUCCGUUUCUCUUCUCCCUUUGCUGCGAGUUGAUUUAUGGUGCUGCAGAUCCUAUCUGCCUGCCCUGCCCAGAGCAUGGACUUGGAGAAAAACCUGUCAGGGGUCUCUCCUUGUCGUCGUUGCUGUUUUGUCUACAAGUGCCCUUACCUAUGAGUUAAACUAGAGCAGUUUCUUCCAAACAGCAAUACAUGAGUUUCCUGCUCCCUUGUGCUUGUAUUGGCGUUUUGAGGGGUGGGCAGCUCAGGGUCUCUGAAGAAAACAAGAGCAAACGAGCAUGGUGCAAAGGGCUGCCCUGAGCUUCCCUCUGGCUGGCUUCUCCCCUGGCUGGACUGGUGGGGCGUUGAGGACUCCUGGCACGCGGUGGGACCGCAGACCCUGCGCCCCGUCCACUGUGCCCCCCCGAGGAUGAGGCGCCGUACCUGGCUGCGGGGCAAGUCCCCGGGCUCUUGGGAUGGCCAGUGACCGUGCGAGGUGGCUGGUCCCUGCCCGCCCUGUGCCAUAAGGGACUGUCAGGGGCUGCUGGGAUUAACCGGGAUUACUUGCUCCAUGGUACAUUUAAAUUUUGAUUUUUAUGCUGCUGUGUCUUAGCGGCAUUCAGGGACGUGGUUUAGCUUCACUGGUUUGAUCAAGGCCUUUCCUCCACAGUUGAACGUGCAAAAAAGAUGCGCUGCAUUUUACUGAGAAAAUAAGAGAUCUGAUCUGAAGAUCUGCUGGGAAAUCCCUGAGUAAAACUUGGCCUUCCUUGCUGUCUGCGUGCUUUGGAGAAGGAGAGGGAUUCACUGCUUCCUCGUACAGAGCCAGGUGCUCCCCAUGAAUAACUGGACCCAACCUAAAAGCAGAAGGAAGUGUAUUUAAAAAAACAGAGGUGUGGUAAUGACACUAUCACGCUUUAUGUGUAUUGUGUAACCCGUGAUGUGUGUGUGGCUCCUGAAGAGCCUGCUCCCCAGUCACGGCUAAAUCACACCUUGAAAACAACAAUAAAAUCCUAAUAAGUUGA